rnacentral:tRNA from 1 species
GCCAGUGUGGCUCAAUGGAUAGAGCAUUAGCCCUCGGACUGAAGGGUGCUAGGUUCGAUUCCAAUCAAGGGCA